UUCAUUUUCCCAACUCUCCUUUGGUGUUUGACAAAAGACAAUGACCUGAUUACAUUUCUAACGGUUAGUGUAUGUAUAUCCGAUGGGAAACUUGAGAUUGCCCUGAAAAUCAUUUGAUUACACCUUUUGAAUGUUCCUGAAUGACAACAGCAGCAGCAACACAAUGUGUUUGUGACAUAAAACUUACUUCACAUAGCUUAUGCACAUAUUGAUCCACUGUUUUCCUAGUGAAUUUUAGGGGUGGACUCCUGCAUUGCCUGGGGUUAGAAAAAACGUUCUCUCUGGAUUCUCCAUAUUUCCAAUAUUUUUGAUUCUGUAGAUGAAGUUAUUGAUAUUUCAGGCCAAGUUGAAUCUCCUCUAAGAAGUUUGUAGACCCACAAGAAGAAAUUCAGAAACACAGAUUUGUUGAGUGGUGACUGAAUACAGCCCUGAGAAACUUCCUUAGUUUUCUUCUGAAUGAAGCCACUUGACGCCACCCACCCUAGAACAGAUCCUUGUUCUUCCUUUGCAACUGCUUUUCAUCCUUGUCUGGAAAAGUUUCCUUUUCCUCUGGAUCUCUGCAUUUUCUCACAGCCCUAAGAAAUCUGUUAUCCUCUGACGAAGGAUUUUGGGGGGACCCUGAUUGAUCUUCUCACCUCCUCUUUCAUGUUAGACAAAAACAAUUUCCCGCUUAAGAUUCUAACAAUCAGCAUA